AUUGAACGCUGGCGGCAGGCCUAACACAUGCAAGUCGAACGGCAGCGGGGGAUAGCUUGCUAUCCUGCCGGCGAGUGGCGGACGGGUGAGUAAUGCAUGGGGAGCUGCCCAGUCGAGGGGGAUAACAACUGGAAACGGUUGCUAAUACCGCAUACGCCCUGAGGGGGAAAGGUGGGGAACUUCGGUCCUACCGCGAUUGGAUGCGCCCAUGUGGGAUUAGCUAGUUGGUGAGGUAACGGCUCACCAAGGCGACGAUCUCUAGCUGGUCUGAGAGGAUGACCAGCCACACUGGAACUGAGACACGGUCCAAACUCCUACGGGAGGCAGCAGUGGGGAAUAUUGCACAAUGGGGGAAGCCCUGAUGCAGCCAUGCCGCGUGUGUGAAGAAGGCCUUCGGGUUGUAAAGCACUUUCAGUCAGGAGGAAGGGGUGAUGGCUAAUAUCCAUCAUCAUUGACGUUACUGACAGAAGAAGCACCGGCUAACUCCGUGCCAGCAGCCGCGGUAAUAC
rnacentral:rRNA from 1 species